UAACAGGCCCAUAAAACUCUAUUUUAACGUUUCACAGAAGGAAGUGCUCGAAAUAUAUGGUUGCAACGUUAAAUUAAAAUAGUGUUUUAUGGACCUUUAGAAUACAAUUGAAUGUAUGUAUAUGUGUCCAUAAAUAAAGAUUUGAUGGCUCGUUUUCACUUUAUGCUUCAUAGAUCAAAGUAGCCUGAAAGGAAUACAGUCCGCAAGCACGUAUAUCGUUUAAAGUUUUUAGCCUUGCCUUAAAAUCGUACAGCUGAAACCUCCUGUAAUAAGGGAACUUGGUGGGAUAUUUCCUUAUAUGGCACAUUUAUAGCUUUAUUGGGUAGUGGUCUACCCAAUGUCGACGUGGUGUCUGAGGACAGUAGAACUUUGCAUUCUUAUCGGGAGCGUCCUUAAUGACCAUAGUGCUACGCAACGAGAAUCAGUUUAUGCUAUUUGCUUGGUCAAAAGCCAGUGUUUGUUUGAGGCAGAAAAUUUUACUUCCUUGUAAAUGUUAAUUGCCUUCUUGGUAGUGUUUAUUGAUGAAAUGCCUGCCUGUACGUCUACAUUAAUGGCCCUGCCCUGAAGCCUUAGUUUUAGAAUUACAAUGAUGCUUGACCCUAUAUAUACAUAUUUGUUGACAUUCAGUCAUUUUUCCUUUCGCCAUUCCCUCUUGUUUUUUAGACAUGGAUAUUUUCGUUGGAAAUAUGUCUAGGUAAUUAUAGUGGCCUUUCAGUUAGACUUGAGUAUAUAAAGAAUUAUGUGCCUGUAUCUGUUUACCGCUGAUGUGAUGGCCAUUUAUCUUAAGAUUCAUCCUUUUACGGAGAGAAUCGCGUAGAAACAAUGGUUUAUGUAUAUUUCUACUUCAUUACAUUGCACUGUGCAUAUUGCAUAUGGAGAAAAAAGUUGGAUCGAACUAAUUACUAUAGAUGGUUCACUUAACGGAUGUGUGGUUAAACUUCAGCGAACUCAAGAAUUUAGCAGUCCUCUGUACGCUGUACAUGGCAACACAACUUAAUUCAUAAUUAUCCAUGGUAAAUUACAUUUUCUAACGUAUUCUGAAAGCUGAGCGUCAUCCAUAGGCUGUAUCUGUAUAGGCGAUGAGCUUGAUGUCAUUUGCUCUUCUUGACAUUUUGUUUUCCUCCAAUUUUUCUUCGAUCGUUAGUUACUCCAGUGUGGAUGUAAAGCCUGGGUCACACAUUGGCCAUUUCAGACCGCGCAUGUCGCAGAUUCUUUGGCAUUUUGUUGUAUUAAAGGCAAACCCCGGAUCUGUGGCAAUUGGACGAACAGGAGGCUUAUGUGGAGCUCAUUUGACAUGGACUAAUAAUUAUAGGGUAAUGUGGGGGAUUAGCGUACACGGGGGUGGACCGUACAAGCUCCGUCAAAAUCAGAGAAUUUAUAGAAGAGCUCUGUUGGCAAUACUGAGAUGUGAAGUGUCGUCAGUGAACCAAGAUGCUGCUUCCAUUUCUUCUAGCUCGCCGGGUAUGGAUUGGAGACUUAAACAUGCCGAGGACGUUUAUGCCUAAGGGGGAGAGGCAAACAGACAGAACUGCUUUGAAGGAGGCUUUUCAGUACUGUAUGGUAACAGGAUGCAGUAUCAGGGAAGCUUGCAAGAAGUUUGGAGUGAAAGUGAUGACCUUACAGGAGGCAGUCAGUAGAUCCAGAAAGUUAUCUGAUGGUAAGACCUUUGUCCCCCUCCAUGGCAGUCCCCACAAGGUCUUCACAGGGGAGGAGACACAGCUUUGUGAUUACGCUAUCAAGAUUGCAAAGAUGUUCCAUUGUAUUCAUUUAACAUGAAUUGAGGUAGGCCUAGGAGUGAUAAAUGUACAAAACUGACUUUAUUUUUCCACAGUUUUCUUAAAUAAACAAUAUUGGAUG